UACGAAGGGGGCUAGCGUUGCUCGGAAUCACUGGGCGUAAAGGGCGCGUAGGCGGCCGAUUAAGUCGGGGGUGAAAGCCUGUGGCUCAACCACAGAAUUGCCUCGAUACUGGUUGGCUUGAGACCGGAAGAGGACAGCGGAACUGCGAAGUGUAGAGGUGAAAUUCGUAGAUAUUCGCAAGAACACCAGUGGCGAAGGCGGCUGUCUGGUCCGGUUCUGACGCUGAGGCGCGAAAGCGUGGGGAGCAAACAGG
rnacentral:rRNA from 1 species